rnacentral:miRNA from 1 species
AGGGGCUGGCUGUGAUCAGUUU